UACGUAGGGGGCAAGCGUUGUCCGGAAUCAUUGGGCGUAAAGCGCGUGUAGGCGGCUCGAUAAGUCCGCUGUGAAAGCCCGGGGCUCAACCCCGGGAUGCCGGUGGAUACUGUCGGGCUAGAGUCCGGAAGGGGCGAGUGGAAUUCCUGGUGUAGCGGUGAAAUGCGCAGAUAUCGGGAAGAACACCCGUGGCUAAGGCGGCUCUCUAGUACGGUACUGACGCUGAGACGCGAAAGCGUGGGGAGCGAACAGG
rnacentral:rRNA from 1 species